UUUUAUGAGAGUUUGAUCCUGGCUCAGGACGAACGCUGGCGGCGUGCCUAAUACAUGCAAGUAGAACGCUGAAGUCUGGUGCUUGCACUAGACGGAUGAGUUGCGAACGGGUGAGUAACGCGUAGGUAACCUGCCUCAUAGCGGGGGAUAACUAUUGGAAACGAUAGCUAAUACCGCAUAACAGUAUUAACCG
rnacentral:rRNA from 1 species